ACGGGUGAGUAACGCGUGGGAACGUGCCUUUCGGUUCGGAAUAACUCAGGGAAACUUGAGCUAAUACCGGAUACGCCCUUCGGGGGAAAGAUUUAUUGCCGAAAGAUCGGCCCGCGUCCGAUUAGCUAGUUGGUGAGGUAACGGCUCACCAAGGCGACGAUCGGUAGCUGGUCUGAGAGGAUGAUCAGCCACACUGGGACUGAGACACGGCCCAGACUCCUACGGGAGGCAGCAGUGGGGAAUAUUGGACAAUGGGCGCAAGCCUGAUCCAGCCAUGCCGCGUGAGUGACGAAGGCCCUAGGGUUGUAAAGCUCUUUCGCCAGGGACGAUAAUGACGGUACCUGGAUAAGAAGCCCCGGCUAACUUCGUGCCAGCAGCCGCGGUAAUACGAAGGGGGCUAGCGUUGUUCGGAAUCACUGGGCGUAAAGCGCACGUAGGCGGAUCUUUAAGUCAGGGGUGAAAUCCCGAGGCUCAACCUCGGAACUGCCUUUGAUACUGGAGGUCUAGAGUCCGGGAGAGGUGAGUGGAACUGCGAGU
rnacentral:rRNA from 1 species